UACAGAGGGUGCAAGCGUUGUUCGGAAUUAUUGGGCGUAAAGAGCUCGUAGGCGGUUUGUCGCGUCUGCUGUGAAAACGCGAGGCUCAACCUCGCGCCUGCAGUGGGUACGGGCAGACUAGAGUGCGGUAGGGGAGAUUGGAAUUCCUGGUGUAGCGGUGGAAUGCGCAGAUAUCAGGAGGAACACCGGUGGCGAAGGCGGGUCUCUGGGCAGUAACUGACGCUGAGGAGCGAAAGCGUGGGGAGCGAACAGG
rnacentral:rRNA from 1 species